rnacentral:rRNA from 1 species
GAAACGAUGUGGGAAGGCCCAGACAGCCAGGAUGUUGGCUUAGAAGCAGCCAUCAUUUAAAGAAAGCGUAAUAGCUCACUGGUCGAGUCGGCCUGCGCGGAAGAUGUAACGGGGCUAAACCAUGCACCGAAGCUGCGGCAGCGACACUGUGUGUUGUUGGGUAGGGGAGCGUUCUGUAAGCCUGUGAAGGUGUGUCGUGAGGCAUGCUGGAGGUAUCAGAAGUGCGAAUGCUGACAUAAGUAACGAUAAAGCGGGUGAAAAGCCCGCUCGCCGGAAGACCAAGGGUUCCUGUCCAACGUUAAUCGGGGCAGGGUGAGUCGACCCCUAAGGCGAGGCCGAAAGGCGUAGUCGAUGGGAAACGGGUUAAUAUUCCCGUACUUGGUGUUACUGCGAAGGGGGGACGGAGAAGGCUAUGUUGGCCGGGCGACGGUUGUCCCGGUUUAAGCGUGUAGGUGUGUGUUCCAGGUAAAUCCGGUUCACUUUAACACUGAGGCGUGACGACGAGGCACUACGGUGCUGAAGCAACAAAUGCCCUGCUUCCAGGAAAAGCCUCUAAGCAUCAGGUAACAUCAAAUCGUACCCCAAACCGACACAGGUGGUCAGGUAGAGAAUACCAAGGCGCUUGAGAGAACUCGGGUGAAGGAACUAGGCAAAAUGGUGCCGUAACUUCGGGAGAAGGCACGCUGACACGUAGGUGAAGUGAUUUACUCAUGGAGCUGAAGUCAGUCGAAGAUACCAGCUGGCUGCAACUGUUUAUUAAAAACACAGCACUGUGCAAACACGAAAGUGGACGUAUACGGUGUGACGCCUGCCCGGUGCCGGAAGGUUAAUUGAUGGGGUCAGCGCAAGCGAAGCUCCUGAUCGAAGCCCCGGUAAACGGCGGCCGUAACUAUAACGGUCCUAAGGUAGCGAAAUUCCUUGUCGGGUAAGUUCCGACCUGCACGAAUGGCGUAAUGAUGGCCAGGCUGUCUCCACCCGAGACUCAGUGAAAUUGAACUCGCUGUGAAGAUGCAGUGUACCCGCGGCAAGACGGAAAGACCCCGUGAACCUUUACUAUAGCUUGACACUGAACAUUGAGCCUUGAUGUGUAGGAUAGGUGGGAGGCUUUGAAGUGUGGACGCCAGUCUGCAUGGAGCCGACCUUGAAAUACCACCCUUUAAUGUUUGAUGUUCUAACGUGGACCCGUUACCCGGGUUGCGGACAGUGUCUGGUGGGUAGUUUGACUGGGGCGGUCUCCUCCUAAAGAGUAACGGAGGAGCACGAAGGUUGGCUAAUCCUGGUCGGACAUCAGGAGGUUAGUGCAAUGGCAUAAGCCAGCUUGACUGCGAGCGUGACGGCGCGAGCAGGUGCGAAAGCAGGUCAUAGUGAUCCGGUGGUUCUGAAUGGAAGGGCCAUCGCUCAACGGAUAAAAGGUACUCCGGGGAUAACAGGCUGAUACCGCCCAAGAGUUCAUAUCGACGGCGGUGUUUGGCACCUCGAUGUCGGCUCAUCACAUCCUGGGGCUGAAGUAGGUCCCAAGGGUAUGGCUGUUCGCCAUUUAAAGUGGUACGCGAGCUGGGUUUAGAACGUCGUGAGACAGUUCGGUCCCUAUCUGCCGUGGGCGCUGGAGAACUGAGGGGGGCUGCUCCUAGUACGAGAGGACCGGAGUGGACGCAUCACUGGUGUUCGGGUUGUCAUGCCAAUGGCACUGCCCGGUAGCUAAAUGCGGAAGAGAUAAGUGCUGAAAGCAUCUAAGCACGAAACUUGCCCCGA